UACGUAGGGUCCGAGCGUUGUCCGGAAUUAUUGGGCGUAAAGGGCUCGUAGGCGGUUUGUCGCGUCGGGAGUGAAAACUCAGGGCUCAACCCUGAGCGUGCUUCCGAUACGGGCAGACUAGAGGUAUUCAGGGGAGAACGGAAUUCCUGGUGUAGCGGUGGAAUGCGCAGAUAUCAGGAGGAACACCGGUGGCGAAGGCGGUUCUCUGGGCAUGUCCUGACGCUGAGGAGCGAAAGUGUGGGGAGCGAACAGG
rnacentral:rRNA from 1 species